rnacentral:rRNA from 1 species
UACGUAGGGUGCGAGCGUUGUCCGGAAUUAUUGGGCGUAAAGAGCUCGUAGGCGGUUUGUCGCGUCGAAUGUGAAAACCCGGGGCUCAACCCCGGGCCUGCAUUCGAUACGGGCAGACUAGAGUUCGGUAGGGGAGUCUGGAAUUCCUGGUGUAGCGGUGAAAUGCGCAGAUAUCAGGAGGAACACCGGUGGCGAAGGCGGGACUCUGGGCCGAUACUGACGCUGAGGAGCGAAAGCAUGGGGAGCGAACAGG